rnacentral:lncRNA from 10 species
CAGAACUUCCUGGAUCAAGUUAAGAAAGUUCGUCUGGCUGCCAGAAGGUUUCUUGUGUGGAUUUAUUGAGCCCCCACUGAGCAGAGGCGUCGAGGCUGUGAGUUGUAAGACACUAAAGGGGCAAGGAGACCAACGAGGGAACAGUGACUCUCACAGAGGAUAAAUCAGCACCAUUUCGUAUAUGGUUAUGAGAUUUGACCAAGAGGGACAGUAUAAACAUAUGAACAAAUAAAUAUAGGCUCAAGAAGAUAAAGGGGUCCUUGAAAUUUAAUCCAUUUUAUUUUCUGCUCCAUCAAGUGUCUUUGGGGAGCAGAGAGCAGGGAACGAGAUUCUGCAUCUACAGAUUUCUCAUAUCAUCGACUUUCUGUGCACAUGUGUGUUCUCAUGGGUUAUUGUUACA